UACGAAGGGGGCGAGCGUUGUUCGGAAUUACUGGGCGUAAAGCGCGCGCAGGCGGCCCGCGAGGUGUCACGUGAAAGCCCCGGGCUCAACCCGGGAGGGUCGUGGCAAACCGGCGGGCUUGAGGCCGGUAGAGGUGGGUGGAACUCCUGGUGGAGUGGUGAAAUGCGUAGAGAUCAGGAAGAACACCCGUGGCGAAGGCGGCCCACUGGGCCGGUACUGACGCUGAGGCGCGAAGGCGUGGGGAGCGAACGGG
rnacentral:rRNA from 1 species